GCGCUUCCGGUGCACCGCCAGGGACGGAAGCCGAGGCGGACCGGAAGUCGCUUGUGCGCGCGCUCCGCGGCGGCGGAAGGCGGAGGUGGGGGUCCAGGCCUCCUGAGGGGAGCUCCUGUUGCCGGUUGCUGGGUUUUCGGGCUGCGGGAGACUUUGGCUGUUGGUUUAGUGCCAUGCGUCCUUUACAGUGUGUCCUGCAAGCACAGAGAAGGGGCCCCUUGGCUUCUGUGUCCUGGCUGCUGCUCAGGACCUGCAGGGCACGGAGCAGUGUCCAGGGCACCACAUGUCCCAGUCCAGAGAGGCAGCAGGAAAAUGGAGUUCGGAAGGAUUUCAGCUCUAGGCUGGCUGCUGGCCCGACUUUUCAGCAUUUUUUAAGAAGUGCUUUAGAUCCUCAAGAGAAGCCUGACGUGGAGGACCCACCCCCCUAUCUCACAGUGGAUGAACUUUCUGGGAGACAGAGAAAAGUCUACCUGGAGACCUAUGGCUGUCAGAUGAAUGUGAAUGACACAGAGAUAGCCUGGUCUGUCUUACAGAAGAGUGGCUACCUGCGCACCAGGAACCUCCAAGAGGCUGAUGUGAUCCUCCUUGUCACAUGUUCUAUCAGGGAGAAGGCUGAACAGACCAUCUGGAAUCGUUUACAUCAGCUUAAAGCCCUGAAGACAAAACGGCUCCGCUCCCGAGUGCCUCUGAGGAUUGGGAUUCUAGGCUGCAUGGCUGAGAGAUUGAAGGAGGAGAUCCUCAACAGGGAGAAAAUGGUGGAUAUUUUGGCUGGUCCAGAUGCCUAUCGGGACCUUCCUCGGCUGCUGGCUGUUGCCGAGUCAGGUCAACAAGCUGCCAAUGUGCUGCUCUCUCUGGAUGAGACCUAUGCUGAUGUCAUGCCAGUCCAGACAAGCCCCAGUGCUACAUCAGCCUUCGUGUCUAUCAUGCGAGGCUGUGACAAUAUGUGCAGCUACUGCAUCGUCCCUUUCACUCGUGGCCGGGAGAGGAGUCGGCCUGUUGCUUCCAUUCUAGAGGAAGUGAGGAAGCUUUCUGAGCAGGGGCUGAAAGAAGUGACACUCCUUGGUCAGAAUGUUAAUAGUUUUCGGGACAGUUCAGAGGUCCAGUUCAACAAUGCAGUGUCUACCAACCUCAGCCGUGGCUUCUCCACCAACUAUAAACCCAAGCAAGGAGGCCUUCGUUUUGCUCACCUUCUGGAUCACGUCUCCAGAGUAGAUCCUGAAAUGAGGAUCCGUUUCACUUCUCCCCACCCCAAAGACUUUCCUGAUGAGGUUCUGCAGCUGAUUCAUGAGAGAGACAACAUCUGUAAACAGAUCCACCUACCAGCCCAGAGUGGAAGCAGCCGUGUAUUGGAGGCCAUGCGGAGGGGAUAUUCAAGAGAAGCUUAUGUGGAGUUAGUUCAUCAUAUCAGAGAAUCUAUUCCAGGUGUGAGCCUCAGCAGCGAUUUCAUUGCUGGCUUUUGUGGUGAGACAGAGGAAGAUCACCUCCAGACGGUGUCUUUGCUUCGGGAAGUUCAGUAUAACAUGGGCUUCCUCUUUGCCUACAGUAUGAGACAGAAAACCAGGGCAUAUCACAGGCUGAAAGAUGAUGUUCCAGAAGAGGUGAAAUUAAGGCGUUUGGAGGAACUUAUUACUGUCUUUCGAGAAGAAGCAACAAAAGCCAACAUGGCUUCUGUGGGUUGUACCCAGCUAGUGCUGGUGGAGGGGCACAGUAAACGCUCUGCCACUGACCUGUGUGGCCGGAAUGAUGGAAACCUUAAAGUGAUCUUCCCUAAUGUAGAGAUGGAGGAUGUUUCUAACUCUGGGGUCAGGAUUAGAGCUCAGCCUGGGGACUACGUGCUGGUGAAGAUUACGUCCACCAGCUCUCAGACACUUAAAGGACAUGUUCUCUGCAAGACCACCCUGAAGGACUCCUCAGCAUAUUGCUGACCUGAGUGGAUGGCCUUAGAGUUGACAUGGGCUGUCCUUCCUGACAGGAAGGGAGACAGGACUGGUCACUAAAGAAAGAGACAAGGGCUUUCGAGGCAGCCAUGUCCAGGGAAGGCAGAAGACUUAACAACUACCUACAAGGCACUGAGCAGAAGGUGCAUCUAUUUGGGUGUGGACCGAUGGAAUAUUAGCAGCCGACACAAUGAUAAGGAAACUGAGUCUUGAAGAGGCUUAUCAACUUAUCUCCAGUCGCACAGAUGCUGAUUUUGACUUGAAGAAUUAACUGAUAUCCGUAAAGCACUUCACCAGUGCUGGCUGCAGAAUGGGAGCUUCAUAAAUGCCACUUCCUCUCUCCCUAACUCUCCUUCCUGGAAGAUUUCCUUCCAGUUUAUUAACAAGACACAAUCCGCCAAGCUCUGAGUCUCAGAGUCAAGAACUUAAGGAAUCUGGCCUGAAGACUCAGAUUUCCCUCAAAGGAAAAACUGGUUUUCUUCAACAUAUCAAAAGACAUGGAGCCACACUGACAGAGUUGGGCAGAAUGGCUGUGAGUCAAGGACACUGUAUCUGGAACAGAACAGGAGGACAUUACCAGACCUGUGAAGACUCCUUGGGACUUCAUCACAACCAGUUGGAUGCAGAGAGAGAAAAAUGGAGAACUCACAAAUUUCCGGAUUGGAUCCAUACAGUCUCAGGAACAAUCCUGCAAUGCCCAAAGGUUCCCCUGGUUUGCACAGGACUCUCAAAAUCACCCUGUUGAGAUCAUUUCCUCAUCUUUCAAAAGAGAUAAUUCAGGACUGGAGAAUGGGAAUGGCUUUCUCCAAGUCGGCCAUCCAGCCAGUGGAUAAGCCAGGAGUCAUUGGUGGUGAUGUGCACUGGCUUCAGAGACAGACAGGCCUGGGAUGGAAUCCCAGCUCUGCCACCUACUACUUGCUGGACAAUCUGGGCAAUGCAGAGUUUUGGAGGCUCAAUUUCCUCAUCUGGAAAAUGUGGAUGAUACACACCCAUACCUUCCUCUCAGCCUUGUCUUGGCUUUGGAAAAAGAUGACAUCGUUUAGAACCUCUAUAAUUUGUAUCAUGAUGUCCAGCAUCUAAUGAAAAAUUACAAGGCAUACACACAUGCACAAAAGGACAAAUGGACUGAAAUCCAAGAAAUUAAAAUAUACAAUAUAACAGACUCACACAUCAUUCAAUUAUUCAAAUAUUGAGCAGACAACAGGGCAAGCAGCCUAUAGAGGAUGAGAAGGAGAUCUGAGACUUUCAGCAUCUUGGGGCAGUACCUGUGGGGAUCCCAGGUAAGUAGAGUCAGUUUCAGGACCACUCUGAUGCCCUGGGUCUCCGUCAGUUGAAUCCUGAUGGCUCUGCAGUAGGGCAGACUUUAUAAAUGGCGAAUGGCCCCAUUGCUGGGAAGACGUGGCACUAGGAAACUGAUGAGAAGUCUUCAAUCUCACCACGUCCAUCCAAUACCUCCAAAGCAAACAUUCCUGCAUAGAAGUCCUAGAGGAUUAAGGAGAUAGGGACUCACUUAAGACAUUUGAUGGAAGUGUCAAAAACAUAUUUCAAACUGCACAUCACGAAUGUCAGCAAAUGCAGAGGUGUAGAGAAUGUUGGGAGCCCUGAGAGAGUCUGGAGGCUGCAUUCAUGACUCUCACUCAUGGCCCUAUCCGCUGGUUUCCUCAUUUGUGCCAUGAGUGAGGUGGACCUAAAGGACUGUGAAGGAGGAAGCCACUCAGUCUACUCUGAGUGGAGUCAAGGGGGGAUGUAUCCUGGCUUCAGUUCAGGGAGGCUUGAGUUUUACCCUGGCUCUACCUAUGCCUUGCUCUUUGAUAACUGGUCAGGCCUCAUGCCCUUUCUUGGCCUCAGUUCCCCCAUCUAUUAUAAUUCCAGCACUGAUAGGCAAUUUUCACAAAUGCUUGUGGAAUCCUCAUAGCAACCUUACCAUGUAAAAACUAUUAUUAGCCCCAGUUUACAGAAAAGGAAACCAAGACUCAAGAGAGGAAAAUUUUGCCCAAGAUCACAGAGCUAGUCUAUAGUAGAAUCAGGUUGUGAAUCUAGUUCUGCCUUAUGCCCAAGCUUGUAACUUUGACACCACAUCUCAAAUUCCUCCUUUUAGAGCAGAGCCGAGGCCUUCUUAUUGGGUAGGAAGAACAGUUCUCUGUUACACUGAGAAGGCUUGUUCCUCAAGGCCUGAAGGACAGAUAUGCUUCAUCAUUUGCUCCAAAAACUGGGACCCCACUCAAGCUUUAAUUUCAAAAAUAUAUUAAAACAUAUAUUUCAGAUUAUUCA